UACGAAGGGGGCUAGCGUUGUUCGGAAUUACUGGGCGUAAAGCGCACGUAGGCGGAUUGUUAAGUCAGAGGUGAAAUCCCGGAGCUCAACUUCGGAACUGCCUUUGAUACUGGCAAUCUAGAGUCCGGAAGAGGUUAGUGGAAUUCCCAGUGUAGAGGUGAAAUUCGUAGAUAUUGGGAAGAACACCAGUGGCGAAGGCGGCUAACUGGUCCGGUACUGACGCUGAGACGCGAAAGCGUGGGGAGCAAACAGG
rnacentral:rRNA from 1 species